GACGAACGCUGGCGGCGUACUUAACACAUGCAAGUCGAGCGGUAAGGCCCUUUCGGGGGUACACGAGCGGCGAACGGGUGAGUAACACGUGGGUGACCUGCCCUCAGCUCUGGGAUAAGCCUGGGAAACUGGGUCUAAUACUGGAUAUGACUCCACGGUGCAUGUCGUGGGGUGGAAAGCCUUGUGCGGCUGAGGAUGGGCCCGCGGCCUAUCAGCUUGUUGGUGGGGUGAUGGCCUACCAAGGCGACGACGGGUAGCCGGCCUGAGAGGGCGACCGGCCACACUGGGACUGAGACACGGCCCAGACUCCUACGGGAGGCAGCAGUGGGGAAUCUUGCGCAAUGGGCGAAAGCCUGACGCAGCGACGCCGCGUGAGGGAUGACGGCCU
rnacentral:rRNA from 1 species